rnacentral:rRNA from 1 species
CCGGAGGAAGAGAAAGAAAAUUCGAUUCCCUUAGUAGCGGCGAGCGAAACGGGAAGAGCCCAAACCAACAAGCUUGCUUGUUGGGGUUGUAGGACACUCUAUACGGAGUUACAAAGGACGACAUUAGACGAAUCAUCUGGAAAGAUGAAUCAAAGAAGGUAAUAAUCCUGUAGUCGAAAAUGUUGUCUCUCUUGAGUGGAUCCUGAGUACGACGGAGCACGUGAAAUUCCGUCGGAAUCUGGGAGGACCAUCUCCUAAGGCUAAAUACUCUCUAGUGACCGAUAGUGAACCAGUACCGUGAGGGAAAGGUGAAAAGCACCCCGGAAGGGGAGUGAAAUAGAACCUGAAACCGUGUGCUUACAAGUAGUCAGAGCCCGUUAAUGGGUGAUGGCGUGCCUUUUGUAGAAUGAACCGGCGAGUUACGAUUUGAUGCAAGGUUAAGCAGUAAAUGUGGAGCCGUAGCGAAAGCGAGUCUGAAUAGGGCGUUUAGUAUUUGGUCGUAGACCCGAAACCAGGUGAUCUACCCUUGGUCAGGUUGAAGUUCAGGUAACACUGAAUGGAGGACCGAACCGACUUACGUUGAAAAGUGAGCGGAUGAACUGAGGGUAGCGGAGAAAUUCCAAUCGAACCUGGAGAUAGCUGGUUCUCUCCGAAAUAGCUUUAGGGCUAGCCUCAAGUGAUGAUUAUUGGAGGUAGAGCACUGUUUGGACGAGGGGCCCCUCUCGGGUUACCGAAUUCAGACAAACUCCGAAUGCCAAUUAAUUUAACUUGGGAGUCAGAACAUGGGUGAUAAGGUCCGUGUUCGAAAGGGAAACAGCCCAGACCACCAGCUAAGGUCCCAAAAUAUAUGUUAAGUGGAAAAGGAUGUGGCGUUGCCCAGACAACUAGGAUGUUGGCUUAGAAGCAGCCAUCAUUUAAAGAGUGCGUAAUAGCUCACUAGUCGAGUGACACUGCGCCGAAAAUGUACCGGGGCUAAACAUAUUACCGAAGCUGUGGAUUGUCCUUUGGACAAUGGUAGGAGAGCGUUCUAAGGGCGUUGAAGCAUGAUCGUAAGGACAUGUGGAGCGCUUAGAAGUGAGAAUGCCGGUGUGAGUAGCGAAAGACGGGUGAGAAUCCCGUCCACCGAUUGACUAAGGUUUCCAGAGGAAGGC